AUUGAACGCUGGCGGCAUGCCUUACACAUGCAAGUCGAACGGCAGCACGGGAGCAAUCCUGGUGGCGAGUGGCGAACGGGUGAGUAAUAUAUCGGAACGUGCCCGGUCGUGGGGAUAACGUAGCGAAAGCUACGCUAAUACCGCAUACGAUCUACGGAUGAAAGCGGGGGAUCGCAAGACCUCGCGCGAUUGGAGCGGCCGAUAUCAGAUUAGGUAGUUGGUGAGGUAAAGGCUCACCAAGCCGACGAUCUGUAGCUGGUCUGAGAGGACGACCAGCCACACUGGGACUGAGACACGGCCCAGACUCCUACGGGAGGCAGCAGUGGGGAAUUUUGGGACAAUGGGCGCAAGCCUGAUCCAGCAAUGCCGCGUGCAGGAUGAAGGCCU
rnacentral:rRNA from 1 species